rnacentral:rRNA from 1 species
UAGGGAAUCUUCCGCAAUGGACGAAAGUCUGACGGAGCAACGCCGCGUGAACGAUGAAGGCCUUCGGGUCGUAAAGUUCUGUUGUUAGGGAAGAACAAGUACCAGAGUAACUGCUGGUACCUUGACGGUACCUAACCAGAAAGCCACGGCUAACUACGUGCCAGCAGCCGCGGUAAUACGUAGGUGGCAAGCGUUGUCCGGAAUUAUUGGGCGUAAAGCGUACGCAGGCGGUUUCUUAAGUCUGAUGUGAAAGCCCACGGCUCAACCGUGGAGGGUCAUUGGAAACUGGGGAACUUGAGUACAGAAGAGGAGAGUGGAAUUCCACGUGUAGCGGUGAAAUGCGUAGAGAUGUGGAGGAACACCAGUGGCGAAGGCGACUCUCUGGUCUGUAACUGACGCUGAGGUACGAAAGCGUGGGGAGCGAACAGGAUUAGAUACC